ACCGCCCGUCGCUUCAUCGAAGUUGGAUUUAGGCGAGGUGGUGCGAUUUGGCAUUAUCGAACCUGAGAUCAGCAACGAGGGAG
rnacentral:rRNA from 1 species